rnacentral:rRNA from 1 species
GACGAACGCUGGCGGCGUGCUUAACACAUGCAAGUCGAACGAAGUGGCGAACGGGUGAGUAACGCGUAAUCAACCUGCCCUUCCGAGGGGGACAACAAUUGGAACCGACUGCUAAUACCUCCUACUGAAGGAGGGGAUUGCGUCUGAUUAGCUAGUUGGAGUGGUAACGGCCCACCAAGGCGAUGUUCAGUCGCCGGUCUGGGAGAAUGAACGGCCACAUGGGGACUGAGAACCGGCCCAGACUCCUACGGGAGGCAGCAGGGGGGAAUCUUCCGCAAUGGACGAAAGUCUGACGGAGCAACGCCGCGUGAGGGAUGACGGCCUUCGGGUUGUAAAGCUCUGUUAAUCGGGACGCGGUACCGGAAUAGAAAGCCACGGCUAACUACGUGCCAGCAGCCGCGGUAAUAC